rnacentral:rRNA from 1 species
GUGAGGAAUUUUGCGCAAUGGGGGCAACCCUGACGCAGCGACGCCGCGUGGAGGACGAAGUCUUUCGGGAUGUAAACUCCUGUCAGUGGGGACGAUAAUGACGGUACCCACAGAGGAAGCACCGGCUAACUCCGUGCCAGCAGCCGCGGUAAGACGGAGGGUGCAAGCGUUGUUCGGAAUUACUGGGCGUAAAGCGUAUGUAGGCGGCAAGUUAAGUUCAAUGUUAAAGCCCACGGCUCAACCGAGGAGAUGCAUUGAAUACUGGCUAGCUAGAGGGUGUUAGAGGAAGACGGAAUUCCCAGUGUAGCGGUGAAAUGCGUAGUUAUUGGGAGGAACAUCGGUAGCGAAAGCGGUCUUCUGGGACAUACCUGACGCUGAGGUACGAAAGCGUGGGGAGCAAACGGGAUUAGAUACCCCUGUAGUCC